rnacentral:rRNA from 1 species
UACGUAGGGUGCGAGCGUUAAUCGGAAUUACUGGGCGUAAAGCGUGCGCAGGCGGUUUUGCAAGCCGGAUGUGAAAUCCCCCGGGCUCAACCUGGGAAUGGCAUUUGGGACUGCAAGGCUCGAGUGCGGCAGAGGAGACUGGAAUUCCUGGUGUGAGCAGUGAAAUGACGUAGAUAUCAGGAGGAAUACCGAUGGCGAAGGCAGGUCUCUGGGCUGACACUGACGCUCAUGCACGAAAGCGUGGGGAGCAACAGG